AUAUACACUCGUAUAAAUAAACACUCACCUGAGAAGCAGCCAGUGCAUCUAAGACUGUCACAAUGAAAUCCAUAUUCUACAUCGCGAUAAUCGCAUUGAUGUUUGCUGCGUAUGUGUCUGCUUGGAAUACUGAAGACAAUGAGGUUCCAUAUACGGCCGCGCCUCAAGAUUAUUAUAUUCCAUCAUAGAGACCCGUGAAUCGAAAAGCGUCUCGGAAUGCCUGGGGUCAGUCUUAAUUACUCUUAUAAAAAACAACGUCUGUGGCGAGCUGUCAAGCUGUCAUGUCGUAAAAUCAGCUGCUAAUUCUAAAAUUUGUUAUUUUUGUUAAAAACUUUGUAAAUUAGUAUAAUUAAGAGUAAAUAAUUGUUGAUUGUUAUCAAUUAUAUGUAUAAAAACACAAUUAGUGAAACCAAACCAAUUGCAAAUACGACAUUACUUGAAACCAAGUGACGGAAGAUUGCUGUUUGAAGGAACUUCAAAUUUCAACGACUAAAACCCGGGGAGUAUUGUAUUUUAUUUGACUCAUAUUGUAUAAAUGCUAUUAUUUGACGUAAAUUGUAUAAACAUUACCCCAAUAAUUAUUUUUUUCAUAAAUCACACUUCAAUAUUACUUUUACUAUUAAUUACGAUUUACGAUAAUUUUAAAUUGGCAAUUAAAAAAGAUAAUAUUUUUUGAAAUAACAGUGGCGUGUUAUAUUAUGAUAAGAAAAAAUCAAUACAACAAAUGGAUUAUGUGCCUUAGAGUUAAUUCGAUGUGCUGAUUUAUUGUUAUUUUUAUUACACACGCUUCUGUUAAUAAUAAUCAUCAGUUUGAAUUAUAUAAGUACUAAUCUCGGUAGGUAGGUAACUAACUGCCAAUUAUAAGGUAGUUUGAAAUACCCAAUAUCAUUAUAAUAUCAAUAUUGCUGAUAACGUAUCUCAAAAAUUUGGUGUUCCUUAUAAUUGCUUCUCAUUAUCUUUGAUACUACUGAAUACUUUCGCUGGUGGUCAUCAAUUAUAAUUUGCUUAUUGCUUUCUAUUGCCAUGUUUGACACUACCUAAUAAAUAACAUCAAACAUUUAAA